GGUGCAUGGUUGUCGUCAGCUCGUGUCGUGAGAUGUUGGGUUAAGUCCCGCAACGAGCGCAACCCCUACGUUUAGUUGCUAACGCGUGAAGGCGAGCACUCUAGACGAACUGCCGUUGACAAAACGGAGGAAGGUGGGGAUGACGUCAAAUCAUCAUGCCCCUUAUGUUCUGGGCUACACACGUGCUACAAUGGCCGGUACAGACGGACGCAAAGCCGCGAGGUGGAGCAAAUCCUAAAAAGCCGGUCUCAGUUCGGAUUGCAGGCUGCAAUUCGCCUGCAUGAAGUCGGAAUCGCUAGUAAUCGCAGGUCAGCAUACUGCGGUGAAUACGUUCCCGGGCCUU
rnacentral:rRNA from 1 species